GCGGAGGUAGCCUAGCCAGGUCAAGGCGCCGGUCUUGAAAACCGGUGGGCCUAGCCCACGGGAGUUCAAAUCUCCCCCUCCGCG
rnacentral:tRNA from 1 species